UACGGAGGGGGCUAGCGUUGUUCGGAAUUACUGGGCGUAAAGCGCGCGUAGGCGGCUUUGUAAGUUAGAGGUGAAAGCCCGGAGCUCAACUCCGGAACUGCCUUUUAAGACUGCAUCGCUAGAACGUUGGAGAGGUGAGUGGAAUUCCGAGUGUAGAGGUGAAAAUUCGUAGAUAUUCGGAAGAACACCAGUGGCGAAGGCGACUCACUGGACAACUGUUGACGCUGAGGUGCGAAAGCGUGGGGAGCAAACAGG
rnacentral:rRNA from 1 species